rnacentral:rRNA from 1 species
GACGAACGCUGGCGGCGUGCUCAACACAUGCAAGUCGAACGGAAAGGCCCUGCUUUUGUGGGGUGCUCGAGUGGCGAACGGGUGAGUAACACGUGAGUAACCUGCCCUUGACUUUGGGAUAACUUCAGGAAACUGGGGCUAAUACCGGAUAGGAGCUCCUGCUGCAUGGUGGGGGUUGGAAAGUUUCGGCGGUUGGGGAUGGACUCGCGGCUUAUCAGCUUGUUGGUGGGGUAGUGGCUUACCAAGGCUUUGACGGGUAGCCGGCCUGAGAGGGUGACCGGCCACAUUGGGACUGAGAUACGGCCCAGACUCCUACGGGAGGCAGCAGUGGGGAAUAUUGCACAAUGGGCGGAAGCCUGAUGCAGCAACGCCGCGUGCGGGAUGACGGCCUUCGGGUUGUAAACCGCCUUCGCCUGUGACGAAGCGUGAGUGACGGUAAUGGGUAAAGAAGCACCGGCUAACUACGUG